CGAGGGGGCGGCCUCGCAGCCAGAUCAGCAACCGAUGACCAGCAGAAAACACGCUGCGCCGUACCGUCCCGCCGCUGUGGCGCAGAGACACGAACAGCCGUCGGUGACGAAGACUACAUACCCCCCC